rnacentral:misc_RNA from 1 species
ACAUGUCUAGAUUGAAGUAAUGCCCUCAAGGCAGGAUCACAAAAAUCUUUUCAGGUUCAGUAAUUUUUAUUGAGUGGGUCAAAAAAAAACCCACAUUGAAUUUCUAUGCUUGUAGAGUCUCAGCUUACAGCAAGAGUGUGAACUAAAUGGUGAAAGUAGCUAUCGUCCACCUUCUAUAUCAUCCUAACAAUAACAUUCUUGCCUCAAGAAAAAGCCUUUCAGGAGUUCAAGCACUAAUUCCACUGUUCAAUAAGGUAUUGAUCUCGCCAAUUAUAUGAACAGGCCUUCCAUCAAACAUGGAUGAAAGUGUGCUCUCACAAAGCCUCUUCAGCUCCCUGGUUUUUGCAAGAGCUGCUUCCUGCUUUGGCCAUGAUGAAGAUAAAGAAUUGUGAAGUUCCAUGCGUUUAGCAGCCAAGUCCUUAAAUCCCUCUUUUAACUUCAGCUCGUGAUGCUUCUUUUCCUCCAAUGUACUUACUAGUCUGUCCAGAAAUCUUUUGGAGUUGAGAAUCAUGAUCAAGUCUAAUGUUUUACGAUUUGUCAGCAAGGAAAUUGCCAAGGAAACAUCAGACAACAUUGUCUCGAUGGCAUCAGGAGUGUACUGCUGCAGCACAAAGGGAGCAACUGACUGGACUUGAUGUUGCAAGGACAAAGUUUCUCCACUUCUCAACUCAGCCAAUCGUUGGCUCAAAAAUGCUUUGAUCUCAUACAAAUCAUCAAGGAGUUUAUUCCUGUACUCAGUCUCCAAGAGUUGGCUCCUGUCUUCCUUCACUCCUGGAUUUUGAGUUAAAGAAUCUGGAAUAUGUUUCUGAUUUUCCACGCUGACAUUGGGCAAAUUGACAUCAUCAAUCACAUCCACCUGAAGUGUCUCAACGCUAAUAUCCCAAGAUAUAUCUGACACAGAAAUCUCUGGAUGCAAGCUGUCUUCCCCUUUAUUUAAUGGGGCUUGAUCAGAUUCUAUAGCUUCAUUUUGUGAUGAAUUCUGUAUGAUGUCACUAGCAUUCACAAUUUCGUAAGGACCCAAACCAUUACCACCAUCAUCUGUU